rnacentral:rRNA from 1 species
UACGUAGGGACCAAGCGUUGUUCGGAUUUACUGGGCGUAAAGGGCGCGUAGGCGGCGCGGUAAGUCACUUGUGAAAUCUCUGAGCUUAACUCAGAACGGCCAAGUGAUACUGCAGUGCUAGAGUGUGGAAGGGGCAAUCGGAAUUCUUGGUGUAGCGGUGAAAUGCGUAGAUAUCAAGAGGAACACCUGAGGUGAAGACGGGUUGCUGGGCCAACACUGACGCUGAUGCGUGAAAGCCAGGGGAGCAAACGGG